CAGCCGUGUGCUCUUCCGAACCCUCCUAAUAGACUGAUGUGAUGACAUUGACAAGGAUGCGUAAACACCUGCAAGAUCAUGGGGCAGGACCGGAGACUCUGAAGCAGCAAUCACCACACACAAACUUCACUGCUGUCCUUGACAGCCUUAUAGAAUUACUUGAUUAAGGAAAAGCCAUAGAUGUUAAAUAUCAUCAUUUUGAGAAAGCAGUUCUUUUGAAAUCUUGUAUACUAAUGUAACUGAAUUGGAUAAAGAAAUGCUA